AUCUAUUAAGAGCGUGUCUACUAGAAAACCAUGCAAAUAUGAAAAAUGUGGUAGUAGCAAGUCUCAAGGAUAAACAGAAUUUUUUACGCGGAUCAGCAAGUUUUACAGAAGAUCUUUACAGAUGAAUAGGGAUUUCAAAGACGAUGAAGCUCUUUACAGGUCAAAAUUACAGCCAGAGAGAGACUGAUACCCAUCCACGUCUUCUGACGACCUUGCAAAUAUUCAUUGCCCUAAAUCAGUUUCUGUUUAACAUAUGUCAACGUUUUGGUAUCUAGUUUCCAGAGGAGCCCAUGUGUAGCAGAUUGUCUCACUAGCUUAUGUUCCAGCAAUAUACUGUAAACCAACUUUACAUUGCAACAAUAUUUGUUUACAUUGGAUAAGUUUCAAUUCAAACCUUAGCUAUUAGUGUUUGCAACUGAUGAAAUAUUCUAGUACUUUACUUCCAGUCAAUAAUUAUUACGAUUUUUCAAUAUUUCCACUAAAAAUCUAGUCCGUGAAUGUUCUCGGAAACUGUAGACGUAAAUACACAAAAACAUAAAAGAAGUAUUCUCGAAGAAAGUCGAGAAAUUGACAGAAUUUCUUUACACUUGAAUAAAAUGAUGUUUAUAUUAAAUUGAUCUUAAUAUUACAA